rnacentral:rRNA from 1 species
GACGAACGCUGGCGGCGUGCUUAACACAUGCAAGUCGAACGGAAAGGCGCUGCUUUUGUGGGGUGCUCGAGUGGCGAACGGGUGAGUAACACGUGAGUAACCUGCCCUUGACUUUGGGAUAACAUUAGGAAACUGGGGCUAAUACCGGAUAGGAGCUCCUGCUGCAUGGAGGGGGUUGGAGAGUUUCGGCGGUUGGGGAUGGACUCGCGGCAUAUCAGCUUGUUGGUGGGGUAGUGGCUUACCAAGGCUUUGACGGGUAGCCGGCCUGAGGGGGUGACCGGCCACAUUGCGCCUGAGAUACGGCCCAGACUCCUACGGUAGGCAGCGGUGGGGAGUAUUACACAAUGGGCGGACGCCUGAUGCAGCAACGCCGCGUGCGGGAUGACGGCCUUCGGGUUGUAAACCGCUUUCGCCUGUGACGAAGCGUGAGUGACGGUAAUGGGUAAAGAAGCACCGGCUAACUACGUG